rnacentral:rRNA from 1 species
GAUGAACGCUGGCGGCGUGCCUAAUACAUGCAAGUCGAGCGAACAGACGAGGAGCUUGCUCCUCUGACGUUAGCGGCGGACGGGUGAGUAACACGCGGAUAACCUACCUAUAAGACUGGGAUAACUUCGGGAAACCGGAGCUAAUACCGGAUAAUAUAUUGAACCGCACGGUUCAAUAGUGAAAGACGGUUUUGCUGUCACUUAUAGAUGGAUCCGCGCCGCAUUAGCUAGUUGGUAAGGUAACGGCUUACCAAGGCAACGAUGCGUAGCCGACCUGAGAGGUUGAUCGGCCACACUGGAACUGAGACACGGUCCAGACUCCUACGGGAGGCAGCAGUAGGGAAUCUUCCGCAAUGGGCGAAAGCCUGACGGAGCAACGCCGCGUGAGUGAUGAAGGUCUUCGGAUCGUAAAACUCUGUUAUUAGGGAAGAACAAAUGUGUAAGUAACUAUGCACGUCUUGACGGUACCUAAUCAGAAAGCCACGGCUAACUACGUG